CCUACGGGAGGCAGCAGGGAGGAAUAUUGGACAAUGGACGAGAGUCUGAACCAGCCAAGUAGCGUGAAGGAUGAAUGCCCUAUGGGUUGUAAACUUCUUUUAUAUGGGAAUAAAAUGUUGCAAGUGUGGGAUUUUGUAGGUACUAUAUGAAUAAGGAUAGGAUAACUCCGUGCCAGCAGCCGCGGUAAUACGGAGGAUCCGAGCGUUCUCCGGAUUUAUUGGGUUUAAAGGGAGCGUAGGUGGAUUGUUAAGUCAGUUGUGAAAGUUUGCGGCUCAACCGUAAAAUUGCAGUUGAAACUGGCAGUCUGGAGUACAGUAGAGGUGGGCGGAAUUCGUGGUGUAGCGGUGAAAUGCUUAGAUAUCACGAAGAACUCCGAUUGCGAAGGCAGCUCACUGGACUGCAACUGACACUGAGGCUCGAAAGUGUGGGUAUCAAACAGGAUUAGAUACCCCAGUAGUC
rnacentral:rRNA from 1 species